AUGGAUUCCGCACUGAUCUUGGAUCCGGAAGCGGCGCGCCAGGAAGGGGGUCAGGUACCUGUAGCCCAGCAUGCACGCGGCGCAGCCCGUCGCGCCCAGGGCGUACGCGGCCGCAGGCGAGAUCAUCAUGUCCACGGACGCCCCGACCACCACCCCCCCGGCCAGGGUCACGUUCUGAACGUCGGCCAUGGUGAGCUUACCGUUUUUGUUCAGCGCGGCGGAGAGGGCGAAGGCCGUGAGCGUGGAGGCGCUGAGGCCGAGGAAGGUGUGCAGGACGGCCCGGUGCUGGUCGUCCCCCCUCACGGUCAACGCCGAGUUGAAGGAGGGCCAGAACACCCAGAGGAACAAGGUCCCCAUCACCGACAGGAUGUCCGACUGGUAGCUGGAGUUCUGCUUGGCGUGGCCGUCGUCCAGGCCGGGCCUGUGCAGCAUGAAGGACACGCCCAAGCCGAAGUAACAGGCAAACAGGUGGAUGAGGACGGAGCCGCCCGCGUCGUUGAUCUUCAGGUACUCGAGCACGGCCCACUCGGUGCACGCGAACACCGGCACCUCCAGCAGAGCCAUGACCAGCAGCUGCAGGGGGCUCGUCCGGCCCAGCACGGCGCCGAACGAUAUCAGCACGGCGGCGCAGGCGAACUCCGCGUUCAACAGGUUGAUCACCCCAAGGUGGAUCUUACCCCCGCGGCUGAACUGGAAGUAGCCCUGCGCCAGCACGGCCCACUGGAUGGCGAAGACGGCCGUGAGGAAGUUGAACACCAUCCCCCCGAAGCCGUAGAGACGGAAGAAAGCCAGCAGGCACCCGAAGCCGAGGAAGAUCAUGACCUGCACGUGGGCGAAAGCUGGGUAGUCCCUGUAGAACGCGUUGUCCAUGGGGUUGGUCCCGUUGGUCUGAAACCUGGCGUCCGCGUGCUCGUCGUACGUCACGAAGGCGGCGUACAAGGCGACGACGAUCACCUGCGUGACGAACACGAAGGCGGGCAACUUCACCCGCGGGCUGGUCGACCUGCUCUUCAUCCCGACUGCUCUCGGCGACAAAUGACAGCGGUUUCUAUCUGCAGCCGGCGGUUUAUCUGCUCAGAUAAAACGGGUCAAAGGCAUCGGACUUGA
ensembl:lncRNA